GACGAACGCUNNCGGCGUGCCUAANACAUGCAAGUGNNNCGCACAGGAUGCACCGUAGUUUACUACACCGUAUUCUGUGAGUUGCGAACGGGUGAGUAACGCGUAGGUAACCUGCCUGGUAGCGGGGGAUAACUAUUGGAAACGAUAGCUAAUACCGCAUAAGAACAUUUACUGCAUGGUAGAUGUUUAAAAGGUGCAAAAGCAUCACUACCAGAUGGACCUGCGUUGUAUUAGCUAGUUGGUGAGGUAACGGCUCACCAAGGCAACGAUACAUAGCCGACCUGAGAGGGUGAUCGGCCACACUGGGACUGAGACACGGCCCAGACUCCUACGGGAGGCAGCAGUAGGGAAUCUUCGGCAAUGGGGGGAACCCUGACCGAGCAACGCCGCGUGAGUGAAGAAGGUUUUCGGAUCGUAAAGCUCUGUUGUUAAGGAAGAACGUGUGUGAGAGUGGAAAGUUCACACAGUGACGGUACUUAACCAGAAAGGGACGGCUAACUACGUGCCAGCAGCCGCGGUAAUACGUAGGUCCCGAGCGUUGUCCGGAUUUAUUGGGCGUAAAGCGAGCGCAGGCGGUUAGAUAAGUCUGAAGUGAAAGGCAGUGGCUCAACCAUUGUAGGCUUUGGAAACUGUUUAACUUGAGUGCAGAAGGGGAGAGUGGAAUUCCAUGUGUAGCGGUGAAAUGCGUAGAUAUAUGGAGGAACACCGGUGGCGAAAGCGGCUCUCUGGUCUGUAACUGACGCUGAGGCUCGAAAGCGUGGGGAGCGAACAGG
rnacentral:rRNA from 1 species